rnacentral:rRNA from 1 species
UACGUAGGGUGCGAGCGUUGUCCGGAAUUAUUGGGCGUAAAGAGCUCGUAGGCGGUUUGUCGCGUCUGCUGUGAAAACCUAAGGCUCAACCUUGGGCUUGCAGUGGGUACGGGCAGACUAGAGUGCGGUAGGGGUGACUGGAAUUCCUGGUGUAGCGGUGAAAUGCGCAGAUAUCAGGAGGAACACCGAUGGCGAAGGCAGGUCUCUGGGCCACUACUGACGCUGAGAAGCGAAAGCAUGGGGAGCGAACAGG